GGCGUGCCUAAUACAUGCAAGUCGAGCGAGCGGAACUAACAGAUUUACUUCGGUAAUGACGUUAGGAAAGCGAGCGGCGGAUGGGUGAGUAACACGUGGGGAAACCUGCCCCAUAGUCUGGGGGAUACCACUUGGAAACAGGUGCUAAUACCGGAUAAGAAAAGCAGAUCGCAUGAUCAGCUUUUAAAAGGCGGCGUAAGCUGUCGCUAUGGGGAUGGCCCCGCGGUGCAUUAGCUAGUUGGGUAAGGGUAAAAGGGCUUACCAAGGCGAUGAUGCAUAGCCGAGUUGAGAGACUGAUCGGCCACAUUGGGACUGAGACACGGCCCAAACUCCUACGGGAGGCAGCAGUAGGGAAUCUUCCACAAUGGACGCAAGUCUAAUGGAGCAACGCCGCGUGAGUGAAGAAGGUUUUCGGAUCGUAAAGCUCUGUUGUUGGUGAAGAAGGAUAGAGGUAGUAACUGGCCUUUAUUUGACGGUAAUCAACCAGAAAGUCACGGGCUAACUACGUGCCAGCAGCCGCGGUAAAU
rnacentral:rRNA from 1 species